rnacentral:rRNA from 1 species
UGGGGAAUAUUGGGCAAUGGACGCAAGUCUGACCCAGCGACGCCGCGUGCGGGAUGAAGGCCUUCGGGUUGUAAACCGCUUUCAGUAGGGAAGAAGCGAAAGUGACGGUACCUACAAAAGAAGCACCGGCUAACUACGUG